CGUACUCCUGUGCUAAGCGCUUGACAUCACCAGUUUUGUACUCCUACUAUUACUCCUCACAAGUCCUUCUACGUACUCUUGGUGCUGCGUGGUUCUGCGUGCGUGUGUAUCGAGCUAUAGCUCGACGGAAACGCCUGGCAAUUAAUUAAGGUAGGUAGCUAAGGGGCGUGCAUGACUGCAUGCAUGGAUGGCGCGCGACACUUGUCGUGGCAGCCACGUACGAGACUUGGAGCGCCUCAGAUCGACACUUGUCAGUAUGUCUACGCGUACGUAUACGGCGCGUAUAGUGCGUCCCUAGAUAAAACGGCUCUUGAGAUUUUUCGUAAAAAAAAAAAAAGGUCCCGGGAAGGAUAAAGAGACGACCGAUGGGGUCGAGAUCUCGGAUUGAUGUCAUGAAUCCCCUGCCGAACAGCUAGCAUGAAUCCCCUGUGUAGUUUCAUUAUUCUUAUCAAAAUAUUACAUUUAUCUAGAUGUAUUUUAGGAAUAAAUACAUUCAUUCUUAGAUAAAUUUGAGAUAAAAAUUAUGAAAACGAA
rnacentral:lncRNA from 1 species